rnacentral:lncRNA from 1 species
UCUAGAUAUAUUUCUAUCUUUCUAUGACUCCUCUGCUCAUUCUAAAUCUCACCUUUUGCACCCUAUUUUCUAUUCUUAAGGGGCCCCCCAAACUCUACUGGUUUUACGUCUAAACUCUAUGGCACAGUUACCAGGAUAGGCAGGCUUCCUGACGCAAAUACAAGCUCAUAACAAUCCGUAUUCUUUUUCUGCCCUUUAGGGCACAAAAAGUAACUCACAAAUCACAAUGGCAGUGGCGCUAGCGGUGCAGCAGAACGAGGGCAGGUUGAGGGCGACUUGUCCCCUGUUGGCGAUUCCUUGCCUUUCGAAGGCCAUGAAGACUGCCUCCAACGCUUCACGCAGCAGUCCGUCAUCCACAUUGGAUCAUCUUUAUGCACAGAAUGGAGUAGAGGUCAAGGUUUGUGGUUUUCCAUAUGAUGUCCGGUCAUUCCAGCAUGACGUGCUGAAAAUCACUCCUUUUCCCCACUGAACUGCUAUGGUGCUUUCUGGGUAGGAAACCCUACCAGGCAAAGAACGCAAGAAGCUACUGCCUCACAGGACGGCAGGGGUACACAUUCUGUAGAUUUCAUGGCAAAUGAGAGAAGCCAGACACAAAGGAAUGUGCUGCAUUAUUCCAUUUAUGGGACGUUCCAGUGACGGGGUGAUGGUGGAUGCCUUGGGGUGGGGCUGGGCCGGGCUAGGGAUCCUUCCGGGGUGUGGAAAUGUUCUUUCUCUCCACCUGGGUGAUGGCUCCCCAGAUGUCUGCAAAUGAAAACAAAGUCAGUGAGCUGUGCCAUUAAGAACAUUCUUUUACCCCUGGG